rnacentral:rRNA from 1 species
AACGAACGCUGGCGGCAUGCCUAACACAUGCCAGUCGAACGAGACCUUCGGGUCUAGUGGCGUACGGGUGCGUAACGCGUGGGAACCUGCCCUUAGGUUCGGAAUAACUCCCCGAAAGGGGUGCUAAUACCGGAUAAUGUCUUCGGACCAAAGAUUUAUCGCCUUUGGAUGGGCCCGCGUUGGAUUAGCUAGUUGGUAGGGUAAAAGCCUACCAAGGCGACGAUCCAUAGCUGGUCUGAGAGGAUGAUCAGCCACACUGGGACUGAGACACGGCCCAGACUCCUACGGGAGGCAGCAGUGGGGAAUAUUGGACAAUGGGCGAAAGCCUGAUCCAGCAAUGCCGCGUGAGUGAUGAAGGCCUUAGGGUUGUAAAGCUCUUUUACCCGGGAUGAUAAUGACAGUACCGGGAGAAUAAGCUCCGGCUAACUCCGUG